rnacentral:rRNA from 1 species
AUUGAACGCUGGCGGCAUGCCUUACACAUGCAAGUCGAACGGCAGCACGGGAGCAAUCCUGGUGGCGAGUGGCGAACGGGUGAGUAAAGUAUCGGAACGUGCCCAGUCGUGGGGGAUAACGUAGCGAAAGUUACGCUAAUACCGCAUACGAUCUAUGGAUGAAAGCGGGGGAUCGCAAGACCUCGCGCGAUUGGAGCGGCCGAUAUCAGAUUAGGUAGUUGGUGGGGUAAAGGCUCACCAAGCCGACGAUCUGUAGCUGGUCUGAGAGGACGCCCAGGCACCCUGGGACUGAGACACGGCCCAGACACCUACGGGAGGCAGCAGUGGGGAAUUUUGGACAAUGGGCGCAAGCCUGAUCCAGCCAUGCCGCGUGCAGAAGGAAGGCCUUCGGGUUGUAAACUGCUUUUGUACGAAACGAAAAGGUUUGACUUAAUACGUUGGACUCAUGACGGUACCGUAAGAAUAAGCACCGGCUAACUACGUGCCAGCCGCCGCCGUAC